rnacentral:rRNA from 1 species
UGGGGAAUAUUGCACAAUGGGCGCAAGCCUGAUGCAGCCAUGCCGCGUGUAUGAAGAAGGCCUUCGGGUUGUAAAGUACUUUCAGCGAGGAGGAAGGCGGUAAGGUUAAUAACCUUAUCGAUUGACGUUACUCGCAGAAGAAGCGCCGGCUAACUCCGUGCCAGCAGCCGCGGUAAUACGGAGGGUGCAAGCGUUAAUCGGAAUUACUGGGCGUAAAGCGCACGCAGGCGGUCUGUCAAGUCGGAUGUGAAAUCCCCGGGCUCAACCUGGGAACUGCAUUCGAAACUGGCAGGCUAGAGUCUUGUAGAGGGGGGUAGAAUUCCAGGUGUAGCGGUGAAAUGCGUAGAGAUCUGGAGGAAUACCGGUGGCGAAGGCGGCCCCCUGGACAAAGACUGACGCUCAGGUGCGAAAGCGUGGGGAGCAAACA